ACGUCCGUAGCUCAGUUUGGUUAGAGCUCCAUUAUGACAUGAUGGGUGGCAGUGGUUCAAAUCCACUCGGACGUA
rnacentral:tRNA from 1 species